rnacentral:rRNA from 1 species
AACGAACGCUGGCGGCAUGCUUAACACAUGCAAGUCGAGCGAAUCCUUCAGGGUCAUCCUCCUACGACUUAAUAACCCGUGGGAACGUUCCCACUUCUACAGACUACCUUCGAGAAACGGAGAGUAAUGCCGAAUACGACCGCAAACGGAAAGAUUUAUCGGACCACGUUCUGCCCUCGUUGGAUUAGGUAGUUGGUGGGGUAACGGCCUACCAAGCCGACGAUCCAUAGCUGGGUGGAGAGGAUGAUCACCAACACUGGGACUGGUACACGACCCAGACUCUGAGGGGAGGCAGCAGUGGGGAAGCUGGGACAAUGGGGGCAACCUUAAGCCAGCCAGGCCGCGUGAUCGAGUAAGGCGGUAGGGUUGAAAAUAUCUGUCAGCUGGGAAGAUAAGGACGGUACUAGUAGGAGAAGCCCGGGCAAAUUCCGU